rnacentral:rRNA from 1 species
AGCGAACGCUGGCGGCAGGCCUAACACAUGCAAGUCGAACGAGCCCUUCGGGGCUAGUGGCGGACGGGUGAGUAACACGUGGGAACGUGCCUUUUGGUUCGGAACAACUCAGGGAAACUUGAGCUAAUACCGAAUGUGCCCUUCGGGGAAAGGAUUUAUCGCCAUUAGAGCGGCCCGCGUCUGAUUAGCUAGCUGGUGAG